GCGCCGGGCCGGGCCCGUGGGCACCGCAGGACGCGCGGACCGAGCGGGCGCCGGGCACCAGCAAUGACAAGCCGCCUGCUCGCCCCUCUCCCCGGCGCACCCGCUCCGGGAGGGGGGCGGCGGGCACGCGCAAAACCCGGCCCGGAGCCGCCGCCCGGGACCGGCCGCCGCAACCUGCCCAAGCGCACCGGAGGCCGGUCCGAAAACCCGGAAUGGACUUUCCUCCCCUUCGCCCCGCUCUUGUCCCUAUGGAAAAACCGGGAGAGGGAAGGAGUUGUGCUGGAUCCCGGCUUUGGAACGGGAAGUGGGGGAGGGGAGACAGGCUCGAGGAAGACCCGGAACGGAUUUUGCAGGUAGUGGAGUAAAGGCGCUUUGCCCGGUGAGGGGAGAAAUGGGAGCGAUCUGGAAGGGGUCUGCAAAACCCGGGUUGGAUUAGACAGAGAUGGGAGGAACGAAGGCAGCUGCGACAGGGCCAAAUGCACCCCGGGCACGCAAAUUUCGGGCCGGAUUCUUCCUCGGGAGACGGAGUAAUGCGUCAUGCCUAAUGCAGUGGGAAUAAGCAAGACCUGGCCUAGAGCUCCCAGACCUGGGCUCGCAGGGGUCUCCGGGAAGGGGCUAUUUAGUGGCUGAGGCGGCGUGGGCUGCCCUCGUCUUCCUGGCAGCGACGUGCAAGAAGGAGGGGCAAAAGGAGGGCUGGACUCGGGCACGAAAGGAUCUGGAGCGCUGGCUGCACCGAAGCAGGCAGCACCUGGUAGGAUCCAUGAAAGGCUUUGGCGGUACCGCAGGGGGCAACCAGGAACCCUCCCCCCACAUCCACACAGCCAGCUUUCUAUAAACCUGGAAGGAUUGAAAGGGGGAAGAACGUGCAGCUCAAGGAAGGCUGAGCAUCUCCAGAGCCCCCUGGCUCCUAGUCCUCCCACCACCCUGCCGUCCAGCCCUGAGUAGCCCACCCACCUGCUCUAUGGAGGGACCCUCGGAACCAAUGAAUGUGCCUGGGGGACGGUACUAACUUGCGUUCUUCAGUUGCUGCGAGAAGCGGUGUCUUUAAUUUAUACGAGGGAAAGGAGUGCCAUGCUUUAAGGAACCCCCGGCUCAGUUUGGAAAAAUCCUGGCUAGGACUCCCUUCCCCCAAACCCUCCUCUUUUUUCCCCAAAGCCCGUGGUCAGCAGAGCGCCCCGUGUUGUGGCCGGGAUCGGUUUCACUAGCCUCCAUUCUAUCGCGGUUUUUAGGCCUCGCGGGCGAGGGGCUCAAGAGGAGAAGGAUGAGUAGAGGCUGGGGGCGCAAAAGAGCCCCAGCGCUUCUCCCCGAAGACCCCCGGCUGCGCAGCCGCAGUGGAUGCCGCGCCAGCAGCCGGGCUCCUGAAACUAACGCGUCCGCGCGCGCGCAGUCUCGCCCCAGCUCCCGGCGCCCAGCACCGCGCGUGUCCGUACCCGCGCCCAGGACGCCCUACUCCCAAGGCGCUUCUCUCUUUGCGCAUCCUACCUAUGCCUCGGAUUCUCACGCUCAGCGUGACCCGCGUCUUGGAUACCCAACGUCCUGUCCAUCCGGCGCCUGGACAUCCACUUUUCUCUUUACCCUAUGCCAGAAAACCCUCACACCCAGGUGGCCCGCGCCUAGGACACCCCACGUACGGAUCCCCCGGCGUCUUGGAGACCCUACAUUCUGUGCAUCUAGCAUUUGGCGCACCCUGACCUCAGACGUGGAUAGCUCUACUCACCUGUGCCCUCUGCCCUCCUCCUGUGUCCACGUGUGUUGAGCUCCAGUGCUGACCGACCUGGGUGCUGGUUUCCUCCACCUUCCUCUGUCCCCGAUCUUCUGAGUCCUCUACCUCAGGGCUGGCGCCCUCAGUCGUGGGUGUCCUGUUUCUUCGUAUUCCUUAGGUCCGUGUGCCGGAGGUGCGAGAACCCAUGCGAGGGCGGCGCAGGGGUUGGGGUUGGUAAUGAAACACGUUCCUGGUCUCAGGAAAAAUGCUCAGCCCUCCACUGCCCACCAGGCACCCCCAGCACAGAUACACCUAGAGCCCACUCGGCCAGCAUUUUUGACCCUGAGGGGCUUCUCAUUCAGUGUAUUAAUUCCUUCCAUGUAUUCCUCAAACACGGAGGACCCCUUACAGCAUUUAGUGGCUGGGGGCCAGAUGUUGAGAAUGCCCUAGUGUCUUGCCAGUAAGACUGGAGUUCCUCUCUGGGGCAUCCCUGUUCAGUGGGUAAGGCAGGCACAGAAAGCAUGAUGGAAAUAGCCCUGGAAAGUAAGCAGGGUGCUAAGGGGAGUGGAUGGUGAACUGUCCAAGCCUUGAAGAGUGGGUGGGGUGGAGUUCUGUGUGCCCCUGCCUCUCCUGGAGGCUUCCUAUACCCCCACCUUGGGCACUGCUGGAGCCCCAUCCUGUCCUUUAUACCUCGGCUCAAGUGAAAAGUGCGGACGCUGCACCUUCCUCACUCCCAAGAAACAAGAGUCCAGGAAGCCACCCAGGUCCAGUCUGAGCAACAGCUGGCAGGCAGCAAUGGUGGUCCAUUCCCGGCAUGUGGGAUCUUAACUCCCCAACCAGGGAUCGAACCCACACCCCCUACAUUGGAAGGUGAAGUCUUAACCACUGGACCGCCAAAGAAGUCCCAGAAUUUUUUUUUUUUAAUAGAGUCAACUCAAACAAGCUGAACAGGACCGGGGCCUGGGCCAGCUUGGCCAC
ensembl:lncRNA